AAUCAACGCUGGCGGCGUGCCUCAGACAUGCAAGUCGAACGAUUAAAGCUCUCUUCGGAGAGUGUAUAGAGUGGCGCACGGGUGAGUAACACGUAAGUAAUCUACCUUCGAGUGGGAGUAACGUCCGGAACGGACGCUAAUACCGCAUAAUGCAGCGGCAUCGCAAGAUGACAGUUGUUAAAGAAUUUAUUCGCUUGAAGAGGAGCUUGCGGCAGAUUAG
rnacentral:rRNA from 1 species